rnacentral:lncRNA from 1 species
AUCGAGGAGUGGCAUCACAAAGUGGAGCAACUAGUUGCAAAUUCCAGUGAUUCCAUUGACAAGCGAACAAAUGUGCCAUGUGACAAAGUAGAAUAUAGCGUCCAAAUCAAUCCUCCAAGUCAAUCUUGUGGCCACGAGGCGUGGUGGAAAUUUUCUUCUUCUUUGUCACAUCCAGAAUUCCGACAACAGCUCGGAAAGCUCUAGAUGCUGAUCGGUUCUUUGGUGUCCCACCUCCGUCGAUUUAGUUAGGUACGCAACUGAAAAAAACACGGAGUUAUCACGAGGUGAGAUCCCUCAUCGGCUAAAGUUGUGGAGGCCCCUGCCAUGAGAUCGGCAUGUACCUGCAUCCAUCUGGGGGGAUUUCAAUACGUCUCUUUUAGCCUGCCCAGAUGACUCCGACGUCACGGGUAAAAAAUUAAAAAAGCAAUAAAACAAAACACAAGAAUCUCUCCGUUAGACGUCCUCGUCAUCGAUAUUGAGUUUGCUGGACUAUCGUCAUCAAUGCCCGGUUCAUACGCAGAACGAGAUUGCAAACGGAUUCUCAAUCACCUACAUUUAUCAGAAAGGGCUGGAUUCGAGAAAGAUCAAAAUUGGAGAGGCUGCAGCAUGGUAAUGCGAGUCGAUCACCGGAAACGCAGCUGGAAGAAUCAGCCUCACCCAUCCGUUUGUGAGAGAGCCGGUCUAACCGCUUGCGAAGGUAAGCUUCGCAGAGGCUUCGAAGGUGGGGGCACAGACCUAUUCACGACACCAGGAAUUGCGAAGUCGACCAUGAGCGUGUCAGGAUCACAAGCUGAAAGAUCGAGUUAUGCGCUUGGGGUGCUGGGGAGGAUCAGAUGCGAUCCACUGGAGGACGUCGAUGCUGGAUGCUCCCUCCACAUGGCAAGCAACAUGCGCCUAGUGGUGUUGGAGAAGUCACGGCAAGCCCUGCAACUGCAUGCAGAAGGCCAACGUUUGCUUUCC